UGGGGAAUAUUGCACAAUGGGGGAAACCCUGAUGCAGCGACGCCGCGUGGAGGAAGAAGGUCUUCGGAUUGUAAACUCCUGUUGUCGGGGACGAUAAUGACGGUACCCGACAAGAAAGUGACGGCUAACUACGUGCCAGCAGCCGCGGUAAAACGUAGGUCACAAGCGUUGUCCGGAAUUACUGGGUGUAAAGGGAGCGCAGGCGGGAAGACAAGUUGGAAGUGAAAUCUACGGGCUCAACUCGUAAAUUGCUUUCAAAACUGUUUUCUUGAGUAGUGCAGAGGUAGGCGGAAUUCCCGGUGUAGCGGUGGAAUGCGUAGAUAUCGGGAGAACACCAGUGGCGAAGGCGGCCUACUGGGCACCAACUGACGCUGAGGCUCGAAAGUAUGGGUA
rnacentral:rRNA from 1 species